CUCGAAAUCAAUAUGAGCUGAUUAUAUAUUGUUGAGAACUAAUUAUUGGUUGUUACAUUAACCUUAAAAAAUUUAUAGUCAGAAGUUAUAUGCUAAUCGCAUUUGAUUAUAGCUAGUCUUUACAUAAUUUAUAAAUUAAUGUUAUGUAAUUUAUGUGAUUUUGAAGGAUAAGCUUCAUUAUUUAAUCAAUUUAUUAUAUAUAUAUAUAUAUAUAUAUAUAUAUAUAUAUAUGGGCUUGAAAACAGCUACUUAUAAUUACUUUAUCGUUUAUUUUAAUAAUUAAUACCAAUAUGAAAAAUUUAUGUAAAAAUAUUUAUAAUUUAUUAAUAAAAUAAAUAUUAUAAUGUAAAUAUAAGUAAUUAUUAAAUAAAAUUUAAUUAAUUCGGCAAAUAAAGAUUUCGACUGUUUAACAAAAACAUUUCUUUAGGUAGUAGAGUUCUAAAGUAAACCCUGCCCAAUGUAUUAUAAAUGGCCGCAGUAUAUUGACUGUGCAAAGGUAGCAUAAUAAUUUGUUUAUUAAUUGUAAACUAGAAUGAAUGGGAUUACGAAAAUCUAACUGUCUCAAAUUUUUAUUUGAAAUUAUUCUUUAUUGUGAAGAAACUUAAAUAGGGUUGAGGGACAAGAAGACCCUAUAAAGCUUUAUAUAACUAUUAAAGUUUUUAAUUUAAACAUAUAUUUGAUUGGGGCGAUCAAUGAUUAAUUAAUAAAACAUCAUUUAAACAAUUUGACAUAUUAGUCUAGAUUUGAUCCUUAAUAAGAGCAUAAGAUUAAGUUACUUUAGGGGUAACAGGCUAAUUUUUAUAUCGGAGUUCUUAUCUAAUAUAAUGAUUGGCACCUCGAUGUUGACUUAAAAUUCCUAUAAGGCGCAAGAGCUUUUAUAAGGGGGUUUGUUCAACCUUUAAAAUUUUACAUGAGUUGAGUUCAGACCGGCGUAAGCCAGGUUAGAUUCUAUCUUCAAUCUUAGAUUAUAUUAUAUUUUUGUUGUACGAAAGGACCCA
rnacentral:rRNA from 1 species